rnacentral:lncRNA from 1 species
GCCACAUCUGCUAGCCAUUUGGAUUAAUUAUUACACCUGUGUCAUAAAACCUGCAUUAAUAAAGAGGUGGCAAGGAAACUGAUACUGCAGCUUAGACAGGACUCUGAUUCCUUCGCAACAUUCUGUCCCCAUCAGUGGCAUUCUACCAUCCUGUUCUCCUGGUGCAUCACCUGGAGUGUUACAGCUUACUUCCUCCAGCACCUCCGUGACUAGUGUGUCUCUAAGACCUCCUGCUUCUU